rnacentral:rRNA from 1 species
GACGAACGCUGGCGGCGUGCUUAACACAUGCAAGUCGAACGGAAAGGCCCUGCUUUUGUGGGGUGCUCGAGUGGCGAACGGGUGAGUAACACGUGAGUAACCUGCCCUUGACUUUGGGAUAACUUCAGGAAACUGGGGCUAAUACCGGAUAGGAGCUCCUGCUGCAUGGUGGGGGUUGGAAAGUUUCGGCGGUUGGGGAUGGACUCGCGGCUUAUCAGCUUGUUGGUGGGGUAGUGGCUUACCAAGGCUUUGACGGGUAGACGGCCUGAGAGGGUGACCGGCCACAUGGGGACUGAGAUACGGCCCAGACUCCUACGGGAGGCAGCAGUGGGGAAUAUUGCACAAUGGGCCGAAGCCUGAUGCAGCAACGCCGCGUGCGGGAUGACGGCCUUCGGGUUGUAAACCGCUUUCGCCGGUGACGAAGCGUGAGUGACGGUAAUGGGUAAAGAAGCACCGGCUAACUACGUG